CAGCAGCCGCGGGAAUACAGAGGUCUCAAGCGUUGUUCGGAUUCAUUGGGCGUAAAGGGUGCGUAGGUGGCGGUGUAAGUCUAACGUGAAAUCUCGGGGCUCAACCUCGAAAUUGCGUCGGAUACUGCAUUGCUAGAGGAUUGUAGAGGAGAGUGGAAUUCAUGGUGUAGCAGUGAAAUGCGUAGAUAUCAUGAGGAAGACCAGUUGCGAAGGCGACUCUCUGGGCAAUUCCUGACACUGAGGCACGAAGGCUAGGGGAGCGAACGGGAUUAGAGACCCCAGUAGUCCCUGUCUCUUAUAC
rnacentral:rRNA from 1 species